UACGUAGGGUGCAAGCGUUGUCCGGAAUUACUGGGCGUAAAGAGUUCGUAGGCGGUUUGUCGCGUCGUUUGUGAAAACCAGCAGCUCAACUGCUGGCUUGCAGGCGAUACGGGCAGACUUGAGUACUGCAGGGGAGACUGGAAUUCCUGGUGUAGCGGUGAAAUGCGCAGAUAUCAGGAGGAACACCGGUGGCGAAGGCGGGUCUCUGGGCAGUAACUGACGCUGAGGAACGAAAGCGUGGGUAGCGAAC
rnacentral:rRNA from 2 species